GUGGGCCCGGGCGGCGGGCGGAGACGUGGGCGCCCUCCCCGCCAAGGCCCGUGCGAGAGGUUAGACUUGUUUCUUAUAUGUGAUGCCAUUCCAGCACUGGACUCAUGGAGGCUGAGCAUUUAUUCAGGUAAUAAUAGAUAACAUUUAUGGAGCACUUUCUGUGUUCCAGGCAACAAAUUGUUAUACAUCUGUUCUCAUUUAAUCCUCACACAACUCCAUGGUGUUGGAAGUGUUAUUGUACCCAUUUAGUAGAUGAAGAAAUUGAGAUGCAGAGAGUGCAUCAAGAGUGAGUUCAGUGCCAGGCGAGGUGGCUCACACCUGUAAUCCCAGCACUUUGGGAGGCUGAGGUGGGC
rnacentral:lncRNA from 1 species